rnacentral:tRNA from 1 species
ACUUAAAUAGCUUAUGUUUAUUUAGAGCGCAACACUGAAGAUGUUGAUGUGGUAUUUUGUUACCUUUAAGUG